UGGAAAUGAGGAAAAUAAAGCUACGCAAGUCUCGAUUUUUUUGUGAAGACUUCAGAUCCAACUCUGAUCCUGCUGGCGGC
ensembl:snoRNA